UACGUAGGGCGCAAGCGUUGUCCGGAAUUAUUGGGCGUAAAGAGCUCGUAGGCGGUUUGUCGCGUCUGCUGUGAAAACCCGAGGCUCAACCUCGGGCCUGCAGUGGGUACGGGCAAACUAGAGUGCGGUAGGGGAGAUUGGAAUUCCUGGUGUAGCGGUGGAAUGCGCAGAUAUCAGGAGGAACACCGAUGGCGAAGGCAGAUCUCUGGGCCGUAACUGACGCUGAGGAGCGAAAGCGUGGGGAGCGAACAGG
rnacentral:rRNA from 1 species